rnacentral:lncRNA from 1 species
AGAGUCAUUCAGCAACAGUAAUGGUCUAUUAUGGUCAGAAAAGAAAGCAGGACCGCGGAGCCUUUUGCAGAAGAGGCUGAUUGAUGAGAUAGCGAGGAUAUUGUUUUAUUUUACGACAAUGAUAAGGAAUUAUACUUUUAGUUUUUUUAAAGUUCAUUUCCAGAGGGAAGCAUUAGUAUUACCAGCCAACAUGCCGAAUGUCGUGCUUUCCUGUGCAUGCUGUAGGCUAUCUACUAUAAUAUCAUUACUUGUUUUACUCCCUUCAGCCGCAGAUAGUGCCACCAUCACCCCAUCCAACCAAUUUCACGGCCAAAAGAAAAUACACCUCCAACCUGCAUGACUCCUCGGUGGGUAAACAUCCCCUAUAAGAGAGCCCUAAGGUUGGAUAGCACUAGAUGUCGAGCGAAGGCUCCAGAUGGCCGGCCUCGUAUAGCAAAGAGCGAAGUCAGGCGUAACACCAUCAAUUGGUAGGUCUCUCUCUCUAUAUAUCUGGUGCGAAUGUCACCCUGUGAAUUUGAAUCCUAGACCAGUGCCAACCAUCAUGAAGAAGUGCCAACCAACACUGCUCAGGCACUCUUUUUUACAUGUUUUCCAUGGACAAAGUUAUUUUCAGCUUCAUGAAUUAGACCUCCCCCCAAUUUCAUCAUCUAGUAGGAUUCUGCAACAGUUCCUCUUUUAAUUUUUAGAUUACGCAAAAUGGGAUUUCAUCCAUGGUUGCCAUUCACAGCCGCUUCCCAGUUGCCAUACAGAGAUCGUAUCAGCCAAGACAAGAGGGCAAGAUCCACGCAGGAUUUUAUAUUCCAGUACGAUAAAAGGGGCAACAUGACAGACAUCUUGCUAUACAAAUAUUCAAGGGACCUAUCGCUAUAUCUCACGGACUCACCUUGGAUUCCAAUAAAUCAUCAAAUCUUAUCUUCUGUUGCACAAAUUUGAUUGUUAGGAGAGAAAAAGGCUUUUUCCUUUGUAUGAUGGAAGCUGAUCUUGGAAAGGCGUUCUCUGGGCAAGGGGCUGGGUUGCAAACAGGCAGCCAGCAGAAAGCAUAAUUAAAAUAAUAGCUGUGGUUGUAUACCAAUGACUCGGCCUUUUUUCUUUUUUUUUUUGGUUUUUCCGGAGGGCCACCUAAUAUGCUUAUAUAACUUUCUGGAGACUAAAUAAAGCUUGGAAUGGCAAGCAAAGCUAAUAAAUUAGCAACUUCAAACUCAUUUCAUGG